rnacentral:SRP_RNA from 1 species
UCGCCUUGAUGCUGCCCGAGUCAAGAAGCUCAGGCAUGGCUGCAACGCGGGGAGGCGAGUGGGAUUGCUGGGCCGAGAACACGACCAAGGCCCGCAAGAGCACCGACAUCGCUGCUCGACGCUUGGAGAAUGCGUGUUGGC